UUCUUAAAUGUCUCCUGUGUUCGGCUGCAGGUGGGAACACCUCAUCUACCAGCUGGGGGGGCAUCAGGAGCUCAUCCGGUACGUCGUCAUCAAAGGAAACGUCGUCCACGACAACGACAACACCAUGGAGAUGUGACUGCAGCAGCUUCUCUCAGAUUCUACAAGCACGACGGAGGAACCGUGAAGACUGACCCGCUUCCAGAAGACGUUGGAGGCGUUCCUGCCACAGCCGGGGUGGACCUGCUGGCAGCAGCUGUCAGGAACCACGUUCUCCUGCAGGGCGGCGUACCAGUCGUCAUGGUUCACCACGCCGCAGCACAUCCACUGGAGAGAGAAACUCGUUUAUGGUUCUGAACCAGGACUCACAAUAAACAUGGACAAGUCUGA